UACUUGCGGUCGCAGCGUAAUCGGCGUAUAUUUUAUUUAUUGUAAAUUAAAAUAUUUAUUAUUUUGAAGUGUAUAUAAAUUGUCAGUGUGGUUAAUUAGAUUAGAGAUAAUUCAUACUGAACAUACAUACGAGUUUAUUAGAUUUCGACAAACGUAUAGCAAAGAAGUUAUUUGUAAUUGUACCAUGGAGGAUGUAAAAAAUAUUCGUGUAACCCCUAUGCCAGAAUCUAAAUACGUGAAGCCGCUAAGGUUCCACUACACUCAGAAUGGGAAGGAAAAGAACUGGGAUCUACUGGCAGUUCACGACAGCGUGGCUAUCGUUAUUUACAAUGUUACGAGAAAAGUUUUGGUGUUAGUUAAACAGUUCCGUCCAGCCAUGCACUUCAACAGCAUUCUCCCAGAAGACCGUGAGAAGGAAACCAUAGACAUUGAGAAGUAUCCCCCCUCUCUGGGACUGGCCCUCGAGAUAUGCGCUGGGAUUGUAGACAAGGAGAAAUCAGUGGUGGAUAUAGCCAUUGAAGAAGUGUUGGAAGAGUGUGGGUAUAAUGUUCCUGCUGAAAAAAUGGAAAGGAUUAUUUCUUACAGGUCAGGAGUUGGUGUGCAAGCUGCUCUGCAGACACUCUUUUUCUGUGAAGUGUCAGAUGACAUGAAAACUGAGCGUGGCGGAGGAGUUGACGAUGAACUCAUUGAUAUUGUGGAGAUGACAAUUCCCGAGAUGGAAAAGUUACUGAGCUCUCCGGGACCUGUGCAGAGCCCACCCAGCUUCCUGUUCGCCAUGAUGUGGUUCUUGCACAACAAGGCUAGCAAGUAUAUGUAGUCGGUCGUUUGCCUACACUUGCUCUGAAUGCAAAAAGCACAAACCAACAGUUUGGGAUUGGCUCAUACAGUGACAGUAAGUAGGCAAUAGAAGAAUAUUACAUCUUUUACCCUAAUAAAAUGUUAAUUUAUUCCUAAUCUAUUGUUAUUUCUGGUUAUAAAUGCAUAAUUUGAAACUGUGAUUAUUGUAUUGUAUUUUUGAAAUAUGAAAUUGUUAAUAAGGAA